rnacentral:misc_RNA from 1 species
GAUGAAGAACGCAGCGAAAUGCGAUACGUAAUGUGAAUUGCAGAAUUCAGUGAAUCAUCGAAUCUUUGAACGCACAUUGCGCCUGCCAGCACUCUGGCAGGCAUGCCUGUUCGAGCGUCAUUUCAACCAUCAAGCCCUAGGCUUGCGUUGGAGCCCUGCGGCUGCCGCAGGCCCCUAAAAGCAGUGGCGGGCUCGCUAUCACACCGAGUGAAGUAGAUUACUCUUCGCUCAGGGCGUGUGGCGGGUUCCAGCCGUGAAACCCCCUACUUCUCAAGGUUGACCUCGGAUCAGGUAGGAAUACCCGCUGAACUCAAGCAUAUCAAUAAGCGGAGGA